UUGGAGGGGCAAGUCUGGUGCCAGCAGCCGCGGUAAUUCCAGCUCCAAUAGCGUAUAUUAAAGUUGUUGCGGUUAAAAAGCUCGUAGUCUGAGGUCUGUUCCGGACUGGCUGGGGAGGUCACCGCCCGGUGCUUCCCCGUCAGGUUCCGAACAGCUUCUGCCGCGAGCGGAAGCCAUGCCGGUUCUCUCGGGGUGCUCUUGACCGAGUGUCCCGUGUGGCCGGCAGGUUCACCUUGAACAAAUGAGAGUGCUCAAAGCAGGCUACUCUAAAACUAAAGCCCGAAUGUUAACUGCAUGGAAUGAUGAAAGAUGAUCUCGGUUCUAUUUUACUGGCUUGUAUAAACCGAGUUAAUGAUAAACAGGGACUGUCGGGGGCAUCCGUACUACGACGCGAGAGGUGAAAUUCAGUGACCGUCGUAGGACGAACAACAGCGAAAGCAUUUGCCAAGAAUGUCUUCGUUGAUCAAGAACGAAAGUUAGAGGAUCGAAGGCGAUCAGAUACCGCCCUAGUUCUAACCCUAAACGAUGCUAACUAGCUAUUCGCCGGCGUUAUUCCCAUGACGUGGCGAGACGCCCCCGGGAAACCUCAAGUCUUUGAGUUCCGGGGGUAGUAUGGUUGCAAAACUGAAACUUAAAGGAAUUGACGGAAGGGCACCACCAGGAGUGGAGCCUGCGGCUUAAUUUGACYCAACACGGGAAACCUCACCAGGCCCGGACACCUGAAGGAUUGACAGAUUAAGAGCUCUUUUCUCGAUUUGGUGGGUGGUGGUGCAUGGCCGUUCUUAGUUGGUGGAGUGAUUUGUCUGGUUAAUUCCGGUAACGAACGAGACUCUGGCCUACUAACUAGUGGAUGGGUGUUCUGACAGUGGGGCCCCAUCCGAUAAUGUCUUCUUAGAGGGAUGAGCAGCGAGUAUAGCUGCAGGAGAUUGAGCAAUAACAGGUCUGUG
rnacentral:rRNA from 1 species